AAGAGUACGUGAAACCGUUCAGAGGUAAACGGACGGGACCGCAAACGUACCCCCGUGGAAUUCAACCCUCGUGGCGUCGGACGCGCCGCGCUCCAGACCGCAAGGCUGGGCGUGGCGCGGGUCGGCCCUCGGGGGCGCAUUUUUCCGGGGGUGAGCCGCGACCGACGCGCGGUCGGCCAGAAGCCCGCCGGGAAGGUGCCCUCCCUCGGGAGGGUUUAUAGCCCAGGCGGUCGCGGGCCCGACGCGCGCGCCGAGGUAGCUUGCCCGCCCGGCGCGGGGGCCUCCGGGCCGUUCGUCUGUCGACCGGGGGGGACUGUUCUCAGUGCCCCUCGACUGCGGGCGUUCGCCCCGCGGGAUCUCCCCCGCGCCGCAAAGGGUCUGCGGCUUUUCUGUCGGCACCCCGUCCGACCCGUCUUGAAACACGGACCAAGGAGUCUAACAUGUGUGCGAGCCACUGGGCCGUACGAAACCCAAAGGCGAAGUGAAAGCGAAGGCUCGGUCUGACCGGGCCCGGGUCUGAUCCCUCCUCGUGGGGGCGCAAGACCGGCCCGUCUCAGAGGCUUAUGUCCUCGAGGCGGAGCAAGAGUACACACGUUGGGACCCGAAAGAUGGUGAACUAUGCCUGAGUAGGGCGAAGCCAGAGGAAACUCUGGUGGAGGUCCGUAGCGAUUCUGACGUGCAAAUCGAUCGUCAAACCUGGGUAUAGGGGCGAAAGACUAAUCGAACCAUCUAGUAGCUGGUUCCCC
rnacentral:rRNA from 1 species